rnacentral:rRNA from 1 species
UACGGAGGGGGCGAGCGUUAUUCGGAAUUAUUGGGCGUAAAGGGCGCGUAGGCGGCCUUCUAAGUCGAACGUGAAAUCCCUGGGCUCAACCCAGGAACUGCGUCCGAUACUGGAAGGCUUGAAUCCGGGAGAGGGAUGCGGAAUUCCAGGUGUAGCGGUGAAAUGCGUAGAUAUCUGGAGGAACACCGGUGGCGAAGGCGGCAUCCUGGACCGGUAUUGACGCUGAGGCGCGAAAGCCAGGGGAGCAAACGGG